rnacentral:rRNA from 1 species
GCAACCUGCCCCGAAGACUGGGAUAACACCGGGAAACCGGUGCUAAUACCGGAUGUCUUUCAAUGAUCGCAUGAUCGAUGAAAGAAAUGUUUUUUCGCUUUGGGAGGGGCUCGCGGUCCAUCAGCUUGUUGGCGGGGUAACGGCCCACCAAGGCUACGACGGAUAGCUGGUCUGAGAGGACGAUCAGCCACACUGGAACUGAGACACGGUCCAGACUCCUACGGGAGGCAGCAGUGGGGAAUCUUGCGCAAUGGACGAAAGUCUGACGCAGCAACGCCGCGUGAGGGACGAAGGCUUUCUGAGUUGUAAACCUCUUUCGACAGGAACGAUUGUGACGGUACCUGUAGAAGAAGCACCGGCCAACUAUGUGCCAGCAGCCGCGGUGAUACAUAGGGUGCGAGCGUUAUUCGGAUUUAUUGGGCGUAAAGAGCUCGUAGGCGGUUCGACAAGUCGGGUGUUAAACCCCCAGGCUUAACCUGGGGCCGCCACCCGAAACUGUCGUGACUAGAGUUUGGUAGGGGAUCACGGAAUUCCUGGUGUAGCGGUGGAAUGCGCAGAUAUCAGGAGGAACACCAGUAGCGAAAGCGGUGAUCUGGGCCAAUACUGACGCUGAAGAACGAAAGCGUUGGGAGCGAACAGGAUUAGAUACCCUGGUUAUCCACGCCGUAAACGGUGGGCACUAGGUGUGGGGACUUUUCAACGGUUUCCGCGCCGCAGCUAACGCAUUAAGUGCCCCGCCUGGGGAGUACGGUCGCAAGACUAAAACUCAAAGAAAUUGACGGGGGCCCGCACAAGCAGCGGAGCAUGUGGCUUAAUUCGAUGCAACGCGAAAAACCUUACCUAGAUUUGACAUGCUGGGAAAAGCCACAGAGAUGUGGUGUCCUUCGGGGCUCAGCACAGGUGGUGCAUGGCUGUCGUCAGCUCGUGUCGUGAGAUGUUGGGUUAAGUCCCGCAACGAGCGCAACCC